GUUUCCAUAGUAUAGUGGUUAUUUAGCACAUCUGCUUUACACACAGAAGGUCCUGGGUUCACAGCCCAGGUGGAGCCA
rnacentral:tRNA from 1 species